ACGUCAUCUCAAGGUCUCAUGCCGUAAUAGAACUUUAAUUUUUUGCGCUGACUAAAAGUAAACGUCAGAGAUAAAAAGGGCAAGUCUAUUACUUAGCCUAUGCCGUUUUUAUUGCAUCUUGUACCCUUUUCGUCGGGUCACUUGGUGUUAAAACAAUAGACGAUAUCUAAGCAUGUAGUAUUCUUGAGCGUAAUGCUGGCGGACGCGGGUUCAACUCCCGCC
rnacentral:tmRNA from 1 species